AUUGAACGCUAGCGGCAGGCCUAACACAUGCAAGUCGAGCGGAUGAAGGGAGCUUGCUCCUGGAUUCAGCGGCGGACGGGUGAGUAAUGCCUAGGAAUCUGCCUGGUAGUGGGGGAUAACGUCCGGAAACGGGCGCUAAUACCGCAUACGUCCUGAGGGAGAAAGUGGGGGAUCUUCGGACCUCACGCUAUCAGAUGAGCCUAGGUCGGAUUAGCUAGUUGGUGGGGUAAAGGCCUACCAAGGCGACGAUCCGUAACUGGUCUGAGAGGAUGAUCAGUCACACUGGAACUGAGACACGGUCCAGACUCCUACGGGAGGCAGCAGUGGGGAAUAUUGGACAAUGGGCGAAAGCCUGAUCCAGCCAUGCCGCGUGUGGUAAGAAGGGCUGCGGAUUGUAAAGCACUUUAAGUUGGGAGGAAGGGCAGUAAGUUAAUACCGUGCUGUUUUGACGUUACCAACAGAAUAAGCACCGGCUAACUUCGUG
rnacentral:rRNA from 1 species